GACGAACGCUGGCGGCGUGCUUAACACAUGCAAGUCGAGCGGUAAGGCCCUUCGGGUACGACGAGCGGCGAACGGGUGAGUAACACGUGGGUGACCUGCCUCUAGCUCUGGGAUAAGCCUGGGAAACUGGGUCUAAUACCGGAUAUGACUCCACGGCGCAUGUUGUGGGGUGGAAAGCCUUGUGUGGCUAGAGAUGGGCCCGCGGCCUAUCAGCUUGUUGGUGGGGUGAUGGCCUACCAAGGCGACGAC
rnacentral:rRNA from 1 species